GCUGGCGGCACGCCUAACACAUGCAAGUCGAACGAAGUAGCAAUACUUAGUGGCAGACGGGUGAGUAACAUGUGGGUAUCUACCCUUUGGCCUGGAAUAACACGAGGAAACUUGUGCUAAUACUGGAUAAGUCUUUACGGAGAAAGCUUUAUGCACCAUUGGAUGAGCCCGCACUUGAUUAGUUUGUUGGUGGGGUAAUGGCCUACCAAGACUGUGAUCAAUAGCUGAUUUGAGAGGAUGAUCAGCCACAUUGGGACUGAGACACGGCCCAAACUCCUACGGGAGGCAGCAGUGGGGAAUCUUGCACAAUGGAGGAAACUCUGAUGCAGCGAUGCCGCGUGAGUGAAGAAGGCCCUUGGGUUGUAAAGCUCUUUCGUCGGGGAAGAAAAUGACUGUACCCGAAUAAGAAGGUCCGGCUAACUUCGUGCCAGCAGCCGCGGUAAUACGAAGGGACCUAGCGUAGUUCGGAAUUACUGGGCUUAAAGAGUUCGUAGGUGGUUGAAAAAGUUGGUGGUGAAAUCCCAGAGCUUAACUCUGGAACUGCCAUCAAAACUUUUCAGCUAGAGUAUGAUAGAGGAAAGCAGAAUUUCUAGUGUAGAGGUGAAAUUCGUAGAUAUUAGAAAGAAUACCAAUUGCGAAGGCAGCUUUCUGGAUCAUUACUGACACUGAGGAACGAAAGCAUGGGUAGCGAAGAGGAUUAGAUACCCUCGUAGUCCAUGCCGUAAACGAUGUGUGUUAGACGUUGGAAAUUUAUUUUCAGUGUCGCAGCGAAAGCGAUAAACACACCGCCUGGG
rnacentral:rRNA from 1 species